CCUACGGGAGGCAGCAGUGGGGAAUUUUGGACAAUGGGGGAAACCCUGAUCCAGCCAUGCCGCGUGAGUGAAGAAGGCCUUCGGGUUGUAAAGCUCUUUCAGACGGAAAGAAACGGUUACGGCUAAUACCCGUGACUAAUGACGGUACCGUCAGAAGAAGCACCGGCUAACUACGUGCCAGCAGCCGCGGUAAUACGUAGGGUGCGAGCGUUAAUCGGAAUUACUGGGCGUAAAGCGUGCGCAGGCGGUUUUGUAAGACAGGUGUGAAAUCCCCGGGCUUAACCUGGGAACUGCAUUUGUGACUGCAAGACUAGAGUGCGGCAGAGGGGGGUAGAAUUCCACGUGUAGCAGUGAAAUGCGUAGAUAUGUGGAGGAAUACCGAUGGCGAAGGCAGCCCCCUGGGUCGACACUGACGCUCAUGCACGAAAGCGUGGGGAGCAAACAGGAUUAGAUACCUGGUAGUCCACGCCCUAAACGAUGUCAACUAGGUGUUGGGGAAGGAGACUUCUUUAGUACCGCAGCUAACGCGAUAAGUUGACCGCCUGGGGAGUACGGUCGCAAGAUUAAAACUCAAAGGAAUAGACGG
rnacentral:rRNA from 1 species